UGGGAUGUAGCUCAAUAGUGAAGCACUUGCCUAGCAUGCAAGAGACUCUGGGUUUGAUUCCUAGUACUACAU
rnacentral:tRNA from 1 species